rnacentral:rRNA from 1 species
CACGUAGGGACCAAGCGUUGUCCGGAUUCAUUGGGCGUAAAGAGCUCGUAGGCGGUUCGAUAAGUCGGGUGUGAAACCUCCAGGCUCAACCUGGAGACGCCACCCGAUACUGUCGUGACUAGAGUCCAGUAGGGGAGCGUGGAAUUCCUGGUGUGAGCGGUGGAAAUGCGCAGAUAUCAGGAGGAACACCAGCGGCGAAGGCGGCGCUCUGGGCUGGAACUGACGCUGAGGAGCGAAAGCGUGGGGAGCGAACAGG